rnacentral:rRNA from 1 species
AGGGUGUAAACGUUGCAGACUUGGUGUUGGGGGCCCUUUGGGGGCAUUCAGUGCCGGAGAGAAGUUGUUAAGUCUGCUACUUGGGGAGUACGUCCGCAAGGAUGAAACUUAAAGGAAUUGGCGGGGGAGCACCGCAACGGGAGGAGCGUGCGGUUUAAUUGGAUUCAACACCGUAAAACUCACCAGGGAAGACUGUUACAUGAAGGCCGAGAUGAAGACUCUGCUAGAUUUUCAGAGAGGUGGUGCAUGGCGUCAGUGACU